rnacentral:lncRNA from 1 species
GGUCCCCUUCCACACUGUGGAAGCUUUGUUCUUUCGCUCUUCAAAAUAAAUCUUGCUUCUGCUCAAUCUUUGGGUCCACACUACCUUUAUGAGCUGCAACACUCACUGCAAAGGUCUGUGGCUUCAUUCCUGAAGUCAGUGAGACCACAAACCCAGAGGGAGGAACAAACAACUCCGGACGCACCACUUUUAAGAGCUGUAACACUGCGAGGAUCUGCGGCUUCACUCCUUAAGUCAAGCUAGACCAUGAACCCAUCAGAAGGAAGAAACUCUGGACACAUCUGAACAUCUGAAGGAACAAACUCCAGACACACCAUCUUUAAAAACUGUAACACUCACUGUGAGCGUCUGUGGCUUCAUUCUUGAAGUCAGCAAGACCAAGAACCCACCGGAAGGAACCAAUUCCAGACACAUUUUGGCAACCACAAAUGUACAAUCACCAAGCGGAUCAAGGCCACCAAGCUACAGACGGUCUUACAAAUGGAACCCCAAAUGAGCUCAACUAACAACUUCUACCAAGGACCCCUGAACCAACCCAUUGGCCUUUUCACUGGCCUAAAGAGUUCCCCUCUGGAGGACACUACAACUGCAGGGCUUCUUCUUCACCCCUAUCCAGCAGGAAGUAGCUACAGCAGUCAUUGCCCAAUUCCCAACAGCAGCUGGGGUGUCCUGUUUAGAGGGGGGAUUGACAGGUGAAGCCGGCUGGGCUUCUGGGUCGGGUGGGGACUUGAAGAACUUUUCUGUCUAGCUAAAGGAUUGUAAACACACCAAUCAGCGCUCUGUGUCUAGCUAAAGUUUGUAAAUGCACCAAGCAGCACUCUGUAAAAAUGCACCAAUCAGUGCUCUGUGUCUAGCUAAAGGUUUGUAAGUGCACCAAUCAGUGCUCUGUGAAAUGGACCAAUCAGCAGGACGUGGGCAGGGUGAAAUAAAGGAAUAAAAGCUGGCCACCUGAGCCAGCAGCAGCAACCUGCUUGGGUCCCCUUCCACACUGUGGAAGUUUUGUUCUUUUGCUCUUCACAAUAAAUCUUGCUGCUGCUCACUCUUUGGGUCCACACUACCUUUAUGAGCUGUAACACUCACUGCGAAGGUCUGCAGCUUCACUCCUGAAGUCAGCAAGACCACAAACCCACCGGGAGGAACAAACAACUCCAGACGCACCACCUUUAAGAGCUGUAACACUCACUGCAAAGGUCUGUGGCUUCACUCCUGAAAUCAAGCUAGACCACGAACCCACCAGAAUGAAGAAACUCUGGACACAUCUGAAGGAACACAGUCCGGACACACCAUCUUUAGGAACUCUAACACUCACCGUGAGGGUCCACAGCUUCAUUCUUGAAGUCAGCAAGACCAAGAAACCACCAGAAGGAACCAAUUCCGGACACAUUAGGAGAAAUACCUAAUGUAGAUGACGGGUUGAUGAGUGCAGCAAACCACCAUGGCAUGUGUAUACCUAUGUAACAAACCUGCACGUUCUGCACGUGUAUCCCAGAACUUAAAGUAUAAUUUUUUAAAAAUACCAUGAAAAAGAAAAGUCUUCCCCAGGUGAUUCCAGUGUGCAGCUAGGACUAGGACGUUUAACCUACAGUGUUCCUCUUCAAAUACUUGACUGAUUCCUAUUCUUUUUCACAAUCCACAGUGAUCAGCAUUUCCUAAAGUGGACCUUUCCCUGCCUGCCUGGACUAUGUCAUAUCUACCAUAUCACCUACCCUCAGAGCCACUAUGCACCACUCCUUCAUGAUUGCAAUAGCUAGCAUUUAUCAAGGCCUUAAUAUGGGUGGGGCACCAUUCUAAGAGAUUUACUGUUUUCACACACACACACACACACACACACACACACACACAAAGGUGCGUCAAAACUAAGAAGUGAGCAGCUGAAAUUUUGCAUCUUUGCAGAACAAAAUCAAUGGCAAUUAUCUUUUUAAAAAACAAACUUGAGCUCUGGUACUCUGCUUGGGAUCUCUGUUUGACACUGUUUCAUGCUUUCAUCUUAGUUAUCCCCAACAUACGUUGGGAGAUGAAAUCUUGUCAUUCCAAGUAUUAGGUGCAGGAGAUCAGGAGUGGGGGGAUCUAAUUAGCUGCUAGUGAGUAGAAGCCAAGGAUGUAACUAAACAUCUUACUAUGUUGCUAAACACCUUACAGCCCCUGCCACAACAAAGAAUUCUUUGCCCAAAAUAGCAAUCCAUGCUGAGGUUGAAAAACUGUCUACAUAAAUAAAAGUGCAUGUGUUCAGAGAAAUAGGACUUUACAUCAGUAAUGUUUAUUGAGUAGAGGUAGUAGACCAACCAAAUUUUGUGAAUAGCUUAUUUAGUGAGGUAUCAUUUAAACCAAGAUCCAUUAACAUUUUUAAAAUUUUACUUUAUCAUACUUAACAAACAAAAAGGAGAGCAAAAUGGAAAAAGCUGAUAUGUCUGUCUGUGGUUUGUAUAGCUUGGGAUUCAUUCAUUCACAUAUUGAAGAUUACCUCAUUUCCUUUUCAGAUUCUGGAAAGAGACACUGUGGUUUUGGGAAUAUCUGUUUGAAUAUUAAACCAGUUAUUCUCAGAAAGAAUGGAACAAUGCUCUGAAUAAGAAAAUCUUGAAUUCCCACAGAGAAUUAAGCAAUUUAAUCAUACUGUAGAUUUUUUUUUUCAGAUCAACAGUGUUAAAACAGAUUCUUCAAAGGGGCAACUUACGGAGAAAACCAGGGACUGGGACCACAGGGGCAGAGAUUCAAGUCCUCAUUCAACCACUUCCCAGCUAUGUUGUCAUGAGCAUAUUAUUUACCCCUUCAGAACUGAGUUUCCAACCGUAUAAAAUGAGGAUCAAAAUGCCUACCACUCAGGAAUAAUUUGAGGAUUUAAUGAGGUGAUAUUAAUAAAUCAACUGGCACACAGUGGAAAGAUAGCAAAUGACAACUUAUGUUGUUAUCGUCAUCAUGAUGACCAUCAUCAUCUUCUUUACCCCCCAUUUUCUGGUAGGUGUGGGGAUAUUAGCCACUUCAUGUAAGUCAAAGCAAGUAGAAAACGAGUUGAUGCAUUUGACAUUGCCUACACUUAACUGGUUUUCAGUACAUUCAUUCAUUGAAUAAAUAUUUAUUGCAUGCUAAAGGGUGUGAGGAACUGCUCCAUCAGUGUAAAGAUCAGCAAAUAUCCCUACCCUGGUGAUACUCACAUUUUAGAAGGGGGAGAUAGAAAAUAAAUGAUAAACACAAUAAAUAAAGUAGCAUAUUAGUGGAUGAUAAGUACUAUGGAAAGAAAUAAAAAGUACAGUAGAGUAAAUGAGAUCGGGAGAAGCAGGUCAAGGUCAGCCCCACUGGGAAUAAACAUUUGUGUGUGUUGGGGGAGAACAAAGGUUGUUAAAGGUAUUCCCAAGAGCAGUACACAAUAUUGUUCUCACCUUCUUUAGAGUUACUAUAGUAGCUCUAAAGCAAAAAACACAUUUAUUUUAUAAAAAGCACCAAAUUCUAGGAACCAUCCUUGCCCUCCCCCACCGCAUGAUUCUCUUCAUGACCCUGACCCCCUCUUCCAGCACCAGAGCAUAUGCAGUGGUCUUCCCUCUACCAG